GCCCCAGGCACGGGGGGCGCAUGCUCGCGAACCGCGUCAGGACCGUGAAGGUAGCAGCGCUAAGCGAUGUCAGGCGUCGCUCCGAAUCACCUGGGGCGAA
rnacentral:SRP_RNA from 1 species